AGCUCCAAUAGCGUAUAUUAAAGUUGUUGCAGUUAAAAAGCUCGUAGUUGGAUCUCGGAUCCGGGCGAGUGGUCCGCCUCGCGGCGGUUUACUGCUCGAUGGCGUCGGUUCGGGUCGGUCGCUUCGGCGGCUCGGUUCGGCCGGCGUCGUUCCCGGUCUCUCACCCUCUGGACGCUCGUCGGUGCUCUUGACUGCAGUGCCGGCGGUGGCCAGGACGUUUACUUUGAAAAAAUUAGAGUGUUCCAAGCAGGCGCUUCCCGCCCGAAUAAUGGUGCAUGGAAUAAUGGAAUAGGACCUCGGUUCUAUUUUGUUGGUUUUCGGAACUAGAGGUAAUGAUUAAGAGGGACAGACGGGGGCAUUCGUAUUGCGGUGUUAGAGGUGAAAUUCUUGGAUCGCCGCAAGACGAACUACUGCGAAAGCAUUUGCCAAGAAUGUUUUCA
rnacentral:rRNA from 1 species